UGGGGAAUAUUGGACAAUGGGGGCAACCCUGAUCCAGCCAUGCCGCGUGUGUGAAGAAGGCCUUUUGGUUGUAAAGCACUUUAAGCAGGGAGGAGAGGCUAAUGGUUAAUACCCAUUAGAUUAGACGUUACCUGCAGAAUAAGCACCGGCUAACUCUGUGCCAGCAGCCGCGGUAAUACAGAGGGUGCGAGCGUUAAUCGGAAUUACUGGGCGUAAAGCGAGUGUAGGUGGCUCAUUAAGUCACAUGUGAAAUCCCCCGGGCUUAACCUGGGAACUGCAUGUGAUACUGGUGGUGCUAGAAUAUGUGAGAGGGAAGUAGAAUUCCAGGUGUAGCGGUGAAAUGCGUAGAGAUCUGGAGGAAUACCGAUGGCGAAGGCAGCUUCCUGGCAUAAUAUUGACACUGAGAUUCGAAAGCGUGGGUAGCAAACAGGAUUAGAUACCCUGGUAGUCCACACCGUAAACGAUGUCUACUAGCCGUUGGGGUCCUUGAGACUUUAGUGGCGCAGUUAACGCGAUAAGUAGACCGCCUGGGGAGUACGGCCGCAAGGUUAAAACUCAAAGGAAUUGACGGGGUCAU
rnacentral:rRNA from 1 species